rnacentral:lncRNA from 11 species
GUGGAGAAUAGCAUGUGUGAAUAAUGCUUGGAGCUGGGUCUCCUUUAAAAGAUGAACCAUUUAACAAGCUUCCACUAUCUACUUUAUCUACCAUGGAGGUUUCUGCUCCCAAGCUCUGAGCUGCAACUUAUGGACAGGGAAAAAGAGAUGCACUGGGUUGUGUUGAUAGGAGAAGAGAAGGUUCUUUUAUCCCCCAGACAAUGUCACCUGCUUGAGCAAACGUUUAUAUCGGC